CCUUAGCUCAGCUGGUUAGAGCAUCCGGCUCAUAACCGGACGGUCAUAGGUUCGAGUCCUAUAGGGUCC
rnacentral:tRNA from 2 species